UCUUCCGCAAUUUGAUAAAAGAGUGGAAGAGAAUGAUUCGUAGAGGAAUAAAAAAACAAAUAAAGAAUUCAGUUGAGAGAAAGCGAUAGAGCUCACUUUUGCUUCCUAUCUGUUACCGAGACGAUAAGAUAUACAAUAGCUAUUAAACUUCACAGUGGAAACGAUUGCCGCGCCUGGAAUAUUACCAACAGAAGCAGACGAUGUAGAAGAAGGUGGAGUUCUUUUUCCAAGUCAUCGUUCGCGUGUCAAGCGAAUUGCCGUCCACCCCGCGGUAAACAUCACACCACCUGCCCUUGGAAAGUCACCCGUCGCGUACAAACGAUUCCUGCAGAAAGCGAUUCUUUUUUUAUGUUGGUGAGGGUGUAAGAAUGAUGGAAAGGGAACUAGAUGAAUGAAAAGACUGGCAAAUGGAAUACAACUAAGAAGAUUUGAGUCAUAAAUGAGAGACAUUUCCUGAUUGAAAAGAAAACAAUUUUUAAAAAUUUAAAUAUAAAAAACAUUUCAUAUGAGAAUAAAAAUAUAUGCUUUUGAA